GGGGCUGUUUUUAUUUGACGUAGGUUCUUUAAAACUUUAGAUUGCAGGUCGAGCCUUCUAACUCGUAAAACUGGAUAAACUUUAUAAGUGCAAAAUCACUUGUAAGCAAAGUUAAAUCAGCAUUUGCUUUUAACUUUGCGCCAGCUCUAGUUUAAUUUCUGGAGCCGUUUCUUCUUUCUGCCCCUAACGGAUAGAUAGAAGCGUCAACUUUUAGGGUGCUGCUUGGUGAUUCUUAUAAGCCAAGAGUAAGAAAUAUAAGAUAAGGCACAAUGAUUUUUGUCUGUUUUCUUUCAUUGAGCUCGAAAAUUAAAAAUAGAAUAAACUUGUAGAAUGUCUAAGGUUUGGCUUGCGGACAGGGGAGCGUAACCCCUCAGCUCCACCA
rnacentral:tmRNA from 1 species